UACGGAGGGGGCAAGCGUUAUUCGGAAUUAUUGGGCGUAAAGGGCGCGUAGGCGGCUAGAUGUGUCAAAGGUGAAAGCCCCGGGCUCAACUCGGGAACUGCGCUUGAUACUGUCGAGCUAGAGUGUGGAAGGGGCGAUUGGAAUUCCGUGUGUAGCGGUGAAAUGCGUAGAUAUCGGUAGGAACACCAGUGGCGAAGGCGGUCUCCUGGGGCAUUCUUGACGCUGAGGCGCGAAAGCUGGGGGAGCAAACGGG
rnacentral:rRNA from 1 species